rnacentral:misc_RNA from 1 species
AUGUCGUAACAAGGUUUCCGUAGGUGAACCUGCGGAAGGAUCAUUAGAAAGUUCCGGGCCGCUUCGGCGGCCCUACCUUCAAACCACUGUGAAGCCACCCGUUGCUUCGGCGGCGUGCCCGGCCCUCACCGGCCGGCCGUCAGUCCGCCCGAGGCUCCAAACCAAAAACCUUUUCUGUAACCGUAGUCUGGUAACUAAAGAUUUAAUUCGUUAAAA